rnacentral:rRNA from 1 species
CCCUUAGAUGUUCUGGGCCGCACACGCGCUACACUGAAGGAGGCAGCGUGUACUCCUGGAUCGAAAGAUUUGGGUAACCCGCGAAUCUCCUUCGUGCUAGGGAUUGAGGUUUGCAAUUAUCCUUCAUGAACGAGGAAUUCCCAGUAAGUGCAAGUCAUAAGCUUGCGCUGACUACGUCCCUGCCCUUUGUACACACCGCCCGUCGCUACUACCGAUUGAAUGAUUUAGUGAGGACUUCGGACUGGGACCGAUGCGGCUUUCGGGCUGCGUCGGUAUUCUGGAAAGAUGUCCAAACUGUAUCAUUUAGAGGAAGUAAAAGUCGUGNCA